UGCACCCGAGGGAAAUAGUUAGUUUUGUUUUCCCGAGAAUCUCAUUGAGAUUCUCGGGAAAACAAAACUAACUAUUUCCCGAGGGAAAA